rnacentral:tRNA from 1 species
GCCGAGGUGGCGGAACAGGCAGACGCGCCAGACUCAAAAUCUGGUGGGGGAAACCCCGUGUGGGUUCGAUUCCCACUCUCGGCACCA